CAGGCCUGCCUCACACAGUUUAACUUCAGACAGACAAACAGGUCUCUGCAGACCUAUUUAAAACACAGUGCAGAGAAAAAUCUAGUCCUUUCAGUUAGAUGGCUGCCUACCCUCCUAGUGCUUGUUUUUGACUCUCCUGCCUUCUCCUCUCUCUCUUACACAAUGAAUACUGGGGAACAAAAAGUGGAGCCAAAGCAAAUGUCAACUUAGACCAAGAGUUUGGCAUGGAAGACUUGACAGUGAGGCUUCUGAAUUUGUGAGCAAACACCUACCAGAUUUUCAAAAGCACUGGUGGGAUGCCUGCUACCUCAGCCUACAAACAAGCCCAGCCUUGAGAUGAGGAACCUGGUCCCCAUCACUGGGGCAAUGCUACAUCACUUCCUUAGGAGAUCAGUAGUGGAGAGUAGGCACCCACUUCAUGAGCUAGAGGAUAUAUAUGAGCUCCAAAUUGUUAACUCCAGAGAUGAAAGUCAGUGAGAACAGGCACAAUAUGAACAGUAAGCAGAGAGACCAAAUAAGAAAUUGCCUACGAGGGUGCCAGCUGGUGGAAGAACUUUUGGUAGUUUGGACAUUUGAGCUAACAUUUCCAAAUUGUUUCCUAUCUAGCACUAAAUGGCAUUAUUUGCGUAAUAAACUGGAAUCCAAAC